GCAUAUCAAUAAGCGGAGGAAAAGAAACCAACUGGGAUUACCUUAGUAACGGCGAGUGAAGCGGUAAAAGCUCAAAUUUGAAAUCUGGUACUUUCAGUGCCCGAGUUGUAAUUUGUAGAAUUUGUCUUUGAUUAGGUCCUUGUCUAUGUUCCUUGGAACAGGACGUCAUAGAGGGUGAGAAUCCCGUUUGGCGAGGAUACCUUUUCUUUGUAAGACUUUUUCGAAGAGUCGAGUUGUUUGGGAAUGCAGCUCAAAGUGGGUGGUAAAUUCCAUCUAAAGCUAAAUAUUGGCGAGAGACCGAUAGCGAACAAGUACAGUGAUGGAAAGAUGAAAAGAACUUUGAAAAGAGAGUGAAAAAGUACGUGAAAUUGUUGAAAGGGAAGGGCAUUUGAUCAGACAUGGUGUUUUUUGCAUGCACUCGCCUCUCGUGGGCUUGGGCCUCUCAAAAAUUUCACUGGGCCAACAUCAAUUCUGGCAGCAGGAUAAAUCAUUAAGAAUGUAGCUACUUCGGUAGUGUUAUAGCUUUUUGGAAUACUGUUAGCCGGGAUUGAGGACUGCGCUUCGGCAA
rnacentral:rRNA from 1 species